rnacentral:rRNA from 1 species
GAUGAACGCUGGCGGCGUGCCUAAUACAUGCAAGUCGAGCGAACGGACGAGAAGCUUGCUUCUCUGAUGUUAGCGGCGGACGGGUGAGUAACACGUGGAUAACCUACCUAUAAGACUGGGAUAACUUCGGGAAACCGGAGCUAAUACCGGAUGAUAUUUUGAACUGCAUGGUUCAAAAGUGAAAGACGGUCUUGCUGUCACUUAUAGAUGUAUCCGCGCUCCAUUCGCUAGUUGGGAAGGUAACGGCUUACCAAGGCAACGAUGCAGAGCCGACCCUAGAGCGUGGUUCGACACACGGGAACUGAGACACGGUCCCCACACCUGGGGGGGGACACAGUAGGGAAUCCUACGCGAGGGGGGAGUGCCUGACAGUGGAACGCGGCCGGAGUCAUGAACGUCUUCUGAUCGUAGAGCUCUGUUAUUAGGGGAGAACAUAUGUGUAAGUAACUGUGCACAUCUUGACGGUACCUAAUCAGAAAGCCACGGCUAACUACGUG